UACCUACCGAGGGGGGAAGACUGGAAUUUUACGCGUCGUAUGACUAAUGAUUUCCUACCCGAAGAGGGGACGACGAACAACGAGUAUAUCCGAGCCGGUUACACAAAGCGAACGAGGGUGCGGUUGCCGUGGAGACGGCUGGUUGAUGCCUAUUGAUAUCCUUCUCCCCUCGCGUAUGGCGUAUGUCUAAAGCUGAAAUCCCCCUCGGUACUACCACAGGACGACUAUUUCUACAGCCGUGUUAUUUUUCAGAAUAAUAUUCUGUUAAAACAUAUAUGAAAUAUUGUGUUUUUACACAGCAAAAACUAAAGAAAUAAUCCGAAUAUUUUUUUAUAUACCUACCCAAAAUAUUCUCGACAUUAACAUAGAAAAAUGUACGGUUAAUUAUGAAAAAAAAAUAAUAAUAAUGAAUUUGUAAGAACAAUAUAUCACUGGCCACUGCAUCGGUACAUAUUCUCUAAUGUAAUCUAAUAUAGCAUGAAUAUAUAAAAAUACGUUUCAAUAUGUACCACAAGCUAAAAUAUUCAGAAAUAUGUACGAAAAAACACGAAUUCGAUAGAUUACAUAGGUUAUGGAACGUAACCAUUUCUUACUCCAAUAAAACGGUAGAUAAAUAUAUUCGGUAAAAAUAUAUUUUUGUAUAUAAAAACCCGACAUUACUUGGGUAUUAUAAAUAUUAAUAUUUUAUUAUCUGUAAUAGGCUUAAACAAUUUCAACUAGUGAUUGACGAAUAGUCAGUGGCGUAGCUAGAUGAGAAGGGACACCGGUGCAGAAAAAAUCUCUAAACUUUGAAAUANUGGUCUAUUAAUUCUUGUACAGAUGCGACAUUUUUUGAAUCAAAUUUUUUUUUAAUAUUUUCUUGGAAAUCUCGAAGUAUACCUAAAUGAUUACAUUUUCCCUAGAUAGUUAUAGCAUAUUGAAGAUGAGAUUGUACAAACGCACAAUAUACAGAUGUUUACAACUAAAUACUAAUGCAACGUUAUGUGCGGACAAUAAUUUUUUUAGUUUGAAUACUCCAACUAAGUUCUCCAUCAAUUAUACAUCCUAGAUAUUUAUAAAUACCUACCGGAGAUAUCGAAGUACAAUUACAAUUUUUAUUAUUUUAACAAAAAUAUUCAUGAAUUAUUAACUUAUUUUUUUUUCAACUCUUGCGGAGAAAUCUAUACACUGCGUUUUGGAAGUAUUUAAGGAUAAUUAUUUUUCUAUUAGCCAAUUCCAAACUUUAGAGAGAUGAUUAUUAGCUUUUUCAUACAAUUCUUCUGAACUAUCUCCAUCGACUAUAAGAGCUGUAUCAUCUGCGAAUAGUACUAAAUUUCCACUUAUUUUAAUGUUUGUUAAACUAUGGACAUAAAUAAUAAAUGACAAUGGACCCAGACAUGUUCCUUGUUUGACACCAGAAUGAAUAAAUUUAUUUCAGAUUUUGUUUUACCAAUUUUUGUACAACAUGUUCGGUUCACUGAAUAUGAUUUAAACAAAUUUUCAGCUAUUCCCCU